UACGGAGGGGGCUAGCGUUGUUCGGAAUUACUGGGCGUAAAGCGCACGUAGGCGGACGCUUAAGUCAGGGGUGAAAUCCCGGGGCUCAACCCCGGAACUGCCUUUGAUACUGGGUGUCUGGAGGUCGAGAGAGGUGAGUGGAACUGCGAGUGUAGAGGUGAAAUUCGUAGAUAUUCGCAAGAACACCAGUGGCGAAGGCGGCUCACUGGCCCGAUACUGACGCUGAGGCACGAAAGCGUGGGGAGCAAACAGG
rnacentral:rRNA from 1 species